UUGGAGGGCAAGUCUGGUGCCAGCAGCCGCGGUAAUUCCAGCUCCAAUAGCGUAUAUUAAAGUUGUUGCAGUUAAAAAGCUCGUAGUUGAAUUUCGGGAUCAAUAUUUCGGUCAUGCCGUUGGUAUGCACUGUUAUCAUUGAUUUCUCACCUUCUAAAGAACCGUAAUGCCAUUAAUUUGGUGUUACGGGGAAUUAGGACUGUUACCUUGAAAAAAUUAGAGUGUUUAAAGCAGGCUCACGCUUGAAUACAUUAGCAUGGAAUAAUGAAAUAGGACAUCCGAUUCUAUUUUGUUGGUUUCUAGGAUCGAUGUAAUGAUUAAUAGGGAUAGUUGGGGGCAUUAGUAUUCAAUUGUCAGAGGUGAAAUUCUUGGAUUUAUUGAAGACUAACUACUGCGAAAGCAUUUGCCGAGGAUGUUUUCAUUAAUCAAGAACGAAAGUUAGGGGAUCGAAGACGAUCAGAUACCGUCGUAGUCUUAACCAUAAACUAUGCCGACUAGGGAUCGGAUGAUGUUAAUUUUUUAAUGACUCAUUCGGCGCCUUACGGGAAAC
rnacentral:rRNA from 1 species